AAUCAGAAAUUAGGGGUCAAAACGCAAUUAAAAAAAAUUGCAUUACGCAGGACCGCCCAGUCAGCAGCCCUGAUGAACCAGAGCGUGCUGCGUGGCAAGACACGUUGACUCGAUGCCACGUGGGAGGCCACGUUGGCAAUCAGCAUGCCUGCGAUAGGACGGCCCAGAAGCAUUCCCGAGGGCGUGGACGGUCUGAAUAUGUUCCCUCCUCAGACGCGAUGAACCGUUGCGAUUAAACGCGAUGAACGUCUCAAAUUCGUUCCCUCUUUAAACACAAUCGGAUGAUCGAGAUCAAAUCAUAAUGAACGGUCCAGAUUUAUUUCUUCUUUAAACGUGAUCGGAUGGUCGAGAUAAAAUACGAUGAACGACCCAGAUUUAAGCAAGACGGAUAUAAAUAUCUCGCAUCACACCGAAUUCAAACCCCACCUGCCAGCCUCCCACCGAAGAAGAAUAACCAGUCACUUGAGAAGGGAGCUGACAACUGCCCGCCGCCGCGUCGGAGCCAGCUCUGACCACUAAAAAAGGUAAAAAUUCUCAUAUCCGCUCGGAAUUUGAUUCCGAGCACCCCCAUAGCCAAAUCGAAGCAAAAGGAAUGACGAAUGAG
rnacentral:lncRNA from 1 species